rnacentral:rRNA from 1 species
UACCGCGAAGAACCUUACCUACUCUUGACAUCCAGAGAACUUUCCAGAGAUGGAUUGGUGCCUUCGGGAACUCUGAGACAGGUGCUGCAUGGCUGUCGUCAGCUCGUGUUGUGAAAUGUUGGGUUAAGUCCCGCAACGAGCGCAACCCUUAUCCUUGUUUGCCAGCGAGUAAUGUCGGGAACUCCAGGGAGACUGCCGGUGAUAAACCGGAGGAAGGUGGGGACGACGUCAAGUCAUCAUGGCCCUUACGAGUAGGGCUACACACGUGCUACAAUGGCGCAUACAGAGGGCAGCCAACUUGCGAAAGUGAGCGAAUCCCAAAAAGUGCGUCGUAGUCCGGAUUGGAGUCUGCAACUCGACUCCAUGAAGUCGGAAUCGCUAG